rnacentral:rRNA from 1 species
GGAGCAUGUGGUUUAAUUCGAAGCAACGCGAAGAACCUUACCAGGUCUUGACAUCCCUGACACCCGAGAGAUCGGGCGUUCCCCUUCGGGGGACAGGGUGACAGGUGGUGCAUGGUUGUCGUCAGCUCGUGUCGUGAGAUGUUGGGUUAAGUCCCGCAACGAGCGCAACCCUCGACCUUAGUUGCCAGCAUUCAGUUAGGCACUCUAAGGUGACUGCCGGCUAAAAGUCGGAGGAAGGUGGGGAUGACGUCAAAUCAUCAUGCCCCUUAUGACCUGGGCUACACACGUGCUACAAUGGGCGGUACAAAGGGUCGCGAACCCGCGAGGGGGAGCCAAUCCCAAAAAGCCGCUCUCAGUUCGGAUUGCAGGCUGCAACUCGCCUGCAUGAAGCCGGAAUCGCUAGUAAUCGCGGAUCAGCAUGCCGCGGUGAAUACGUUCCCGGGCCUU